UACGUAGGGUGCAAGCGUUAAUCGGAAUUACUGGGCGUAAAGCGUGCGCAGGCGGUUCGUUGUGUCGGCGGUGAAAGCCCCGGGCUUAACCUGGGAAUGGCCGUUGAAACUGGCGAACUGGAGUGUGGCAGAGGGGGGUGGAAUUCCGCGUGUAGCAGUGAAAUGCGUAGAGAUGCGGAGGAACACCGAUGGCGAAGGCAGCCCCCUGGGCUAACACUGACGCUCAGGCACGAAGACGUGGGGAGCAAACAGG
rnacentral:rRNA from 1 species